ACCUGCAUUAUUUGACGUUACCUACAGAAGAAGCACCGGCUAACUCCGUGCCAGCAGCCGCGGUAAUACGGAGGGUGCGAGCGUUAAUCGGAAUUACUGGGCGUAAAGCGCAUGCAGGCGGCCUGUUAAGUCAGAUGUGAAAGACCCGGGGCGUUAACCUCGGAAUUGCAUUUGAAACUAGGCAGGCUAGAGUCUUGUAGAGGGGGGUAGGAAGUUUCUAGGUGUAGCGGUGAAAUAGCGUAGAGAUCUGAAGGAAUACCAGUGGCGAAGGCGGCCCCCUCGGACAAAGACUGACGCUCAGAUGCGAAAGCGUGGGGAGCAAACAGGAUUAGAUACCCUGGUAG
rnacentral:rRNA from 1 species